AGUGAACGCUGGCGGUAGGCCUAACACAUGCAAGUCGAACGGCAGCACAGUAAGAGCUUGCUCUUACGGGUGGCGAGUGGCGGACGGGUGAGGAAUACAUCGGAAUCUACUUUUUCGUGGGGGAUAACGUAGGGAAACUUACGCUAAUACCGAAUACGACCUACGGGAGAAAGCAGGAGAUCUUCGGACCUUGCGCGAUUGAAUGAGCCGAUGUCGGAUUAGCUAGUUGGCGGGGUAAAGGCACACCAAGGCGACGAUCCGUAGCUGGUCUGAGAGGAUGAUCAGCCACACUGGAACUGAGACACGGUCCAGACUCCUACGGGAGGCAGCAGUGGGGAAUAUUGGACAAUGGGCGCAAGCCUGAUCCAGCCAUACCGCGUGAGUGAUGAAGGCCUUCGGGUUGUAAAGCCCUUUUGUUGGGAAAGAAAAGCAGCAUGUUAAUACCUCGCUGUUCUGACGGUACCCAAAGAAUAAGCACCGGCUAACUUCGUG
rnacentral:rRNA from 1 species